rnacentral:rRNA from 1 species
CAGCCGCCGCGGUAAUACGGAGGGUGCAAGCGUUAUCCGGAUUUAUUGGGUUUAAAGGGUCCGUAGGCGGAUCUGUAAGUCAGUGGUGAAAUCUCACAGCUUAACUGUGAAACUGCCAUUGAUACUGCAGGUCUUGAGUAAAUUUGAAGUGGCUGGAAUAAGUAGUGUAGCGGUGAAAUGCAUAGAUAUUACUUAGAACACCAAUUGCGAAGGCAGGUCACUAAGAUUUAACUGACGCUGAUGGACGAAAGCGUUGGGAGCGAACAGGAUUAGAUACCCCGGUAGUCCCUGUCUCUUAUAC